rnacentral:misc_RNA from 1 species
GGUUCCGUGUACACUCUAGUUCCGUGUCUUAUGCAAUUUACCUGCGCGGUUUUUGGUAAAUAUGGUAAUUUAAUUCUAGUAAAGCUUGUUACAUUCGCUGCGACAAAAGGACGAAAGACUGCUACCAGUGCUCUAAGUCACGCCAAAGCUUGCGUCGCCGUUUGUCAUCCCCUGCCGCGCCAGGUGUGAAAUUAUGUUGCCCGAAGGGAACGACGAGGUGCAACAAUCGUGAUGGGAGUCGUGACAGCCGCCCGGGCGAUCACCGUCCUGCUCUCGGUCGUGUUUCUCCCAGGAGCUUGGAGCUUUCGCGACAUCACGGUUGAUGUAUUCGGCAGCGCCCAACCGAGCGUUCUCGGCGCCUUCGGCGACUUCAACUCGGACAAGCUCACCGAUCUCUUCCUCGCGUCGAGCGAUUCUCACAAGCUGGAGAUAUGGGUCGCCACGGGCGUGAAGCCGUCGUUCGAGAAGUCCGAGGUGCAGUGCACCGUUCCUGGCGUCAUCACAAGCAUCAUGCCGGGCGACUUUGACGGUGACUCCAUCAUGGACGUGCUCGUAACGUCCAAGGACAGCGGCGACAAGUCCGACGUCGUCGACGUUCGAAUCUUCUGGGGUCGCUUGCGAAUGGGCGUGGACUGCGCGAACAGCACGCACGUAGCGGGCCUAGGUUGGCAGCCGCUGCUGUUGGACUACAACGGGGACCGGGUCGUCGACCUGCUGUCCGCCCGCGCGGAAGACCCCAACACGAGGACCGUGUGGACGUUCGGUCCGAGCAGGACUCCGACGCCCGUGGCGCUCGGUGUGGGUGCGAGCGCGCUCGCGAAGCCGCACUCGAAUUCAUUCGUGGACUUGAACGACGACAUGACCGCCGAUCUCAUGCUGACCGCCCAUUCCUCCAUGGAGGUCUGGUACUGGGUCGGCAACGGUUCGUUUAGCGGUCCGCACAGGCGCGACUACCCGCCUGACGCCGCGGUGAAAGGUCAGUCCCUCUUCGUCGACGUCGACGCGGACGGUGACAUGGAACACGUCAUGCCCGUCUGCCUCGGAAGCCCCGACUGCAAGCACUCGGCGAUCAUGGUGCUCAACGGUAGCCACUGGGUCACUUGGUUCGAGUCGUUUCAAGACGGCGCCAACUACACUUGGAAAUUCCACGUUGAUGAGGGCCAACCGCCCGAUGUCGCGAUGCCGGUCGCCUUGCGUACGGGGGACGUUGACAUGGACGGUUAUCCCGACUUCUUAGCGAUAUUGGAAGGCAAGCCGCAGGGCCAGAAGAAGGUAGUCACUCGGGCCACACUCCUGCUCAACGUCCGCUGCUCGAGCUGCCCGUUUGGGCGUAACUUGGUCCCUUACUGGAAUUACGGGGCCCUCGCGAACUUUGACUCCGCCAAGCUGGCCGCGUUCUUCGACAUCGACGAAGACGGGCACAUGGACAUCCUGCUGACGAACGGUACCCGGCAGAAUGGAUUUCACACGUUCGCACUUCGCAACCAGUUUAGCGACGAUGCGUGCUUCAUCAAGGUUUUGGCUCUGAGUGGCCUCUGCUACACCGACUGUCCGCAGGGUCACCUGGCCUACGGCACGAAUCAACCGGGACCUCUGGUGCGGUACCGGAUCAUAACGUCCAGUGGCUACCCGCAGGAAAGCUGCAGCAGCCAGCUCUACCAGUCGGCACACUACGCACUGCAGCUGCCUUAUUCAGUUUUUGGGCUUGGCCAGUCGCCAAACUUUGUGGACGUGCUGACUGUCGCCUUAGCUAACAACGAGAGCUCCGAGCACCCCAGUGUGCACCACCAGUGGACCCAAAUCAUCCCAAACUCGCAGAUGGUGGUCAUCCCAUACCCGGCAAAUGACCCAUCACGCUGGGUCAACAAGCUUUUCGUCACUCCUGGACGACAGGUGCUGCUGACAUUCAUUGCUCUGGCUGGAACAUGCGUCUUUAUUGUGCUGAUCAUCGGAGCCCUGCACUGGCUGGAGAAACGAGAGGAUCGUCGUAUGAAGCUCCAAGAGGCACAUCAAUUCCACUUUGAUGCCAUGUAGUGCGAUAUUUAACAUGUUGUCAUGCCGAGUGUUCUCACUGUAAGCAAACCUGUGGUGUUCAGCAAUAAGACUGCCUUACCUGGUCGCCAUUCCGUGCAGCAGUGAAGAAGCGUUUGUGAUGUAGCUUUGAAGACUGUUCGGUGAAUGUUACAAGGCCCUACAGGGCGGGGCCGUAAACCUUGGAAGUCCCAUGCUUUGCUGGGAUUAAAGGUGUGUGCCUUCCAAUAGGAAGCCCCAUUCUUCAAGCUUCAUGAAGCGGUUGAACUUUAGUGGAGGGAUAUUGUGGACUCUGCCCUUCCGGGGCUAAUUAUGAAAUCUAUUCAUGCAUCUUGUGUUUGAGC